AGACUGAAGCCACCACUCUAUCUGCACAGAUCACAGUUCUUCAGAGAGACACUUCUGGAAUAGCUGCUGAAAACAAAGAACUCAAAUUUCGGUUGCAAGCUUUGGAACAACAAGCACAUCUUAGAGAUGCUCUAAAUGAAACUUUGAGGGAAGAAGUGCAGCGGCUUAAGAUUGAAGCAGGCCAAAUUCCAGCUGCGAAUGGAAAUAGAGGAACACGUUUUCAUUUACCUCCCCAACCACAGCCCUUUGUUCAAUGUGGUAACCACCAUCCACAACACCAGCAGCAGCACAUUCCGCGUUCGACUGCAAGUAACCAAACUGUCCCUGGACAGUCUCAAUCUAGCUUCUUCAACUUCAACAACAGGGCUUGAAAGUCUCAAAGGUGAACUGGUCUGGUUAGUAAUUUAUCAAAGUAGAUGACCUUGUAAAUAUUGAUAUGUAGAAUCUGUGUAGAUUGUCAAAAGGUUAUUGAAUGAGUGUUGUUCAGCUCAAUAGCUUGUAACUUACCAAGUAUUUAACAAUAUGAAUGACUGAUUCAUUAAUGUGGGAUGCCUAA